rnacentral:rRNA from 1 species
AUUGAACGCUGGCGGCAGGCCUAACACAUGCAAGUCGAGCGGAGCGGCGGACGGGUGAGUAAUGCCUAGGAAUCUGCCUGGUCGUGGGGGAUAACGUCCGGAAACGGGCGCUAAUACCGCCUACUCUCCGAUGAGCCUAGGUCGGAUUAGCUAGUUGGUGGGGUAAAGGCCUACCAAGGCGACGAUCCGUAACUGGUCUGAGAGGAUGAUCAGUCACACUGGAACUUAGAAACGGGCCAGACUCCUACGGGAGGCAGCAGGGGGGAAAAUUGGACAAUGGGGGAAAGCCUGAUCCAUCCAUGCCGCGUGUGUGAAGAAGGUCUUCGGAUUGUAAAGCACUUUAAGUUGGGAGGCGUUACCAACAGAAUAAGCACCGGCUAACUUCGUGCCAGCAGCCGCGGUAAUAC